GUAGUUGGAUUUCUGUUAAUAAUUUAUAUAAUAUAUUUUGAUAGAUAUUUAUAUAAUAUUAACAUAAUUCAUAUUACUAUUUUUUUUUAGUAUAUGAAAUUUUACUUUGAGAAAAUUAGAGUGCUUAAAGCAGGCAUAUGCCUUGAAUACUCCAGCAUGGAAUAAUAUUAAAGAUUUUUAUCUUUCUUAUUGGUUCUAAGAUAAGAAUAAUGAUUAAUAGGGACAGUUGGGGGCAUUUGUAUUUAACAGUCA
rnacentral:rRNA from 1 species